rnacentral:rRNA from 1 species
AUUGAACGCUGGCGGCAUGCCUUACACAUGCAAGUCGAACGGCAGCACGGGAGCAAUCCUGGUAGCGAGUGGCGAACGGGUGAAUAAUGUAUCGGAACGUACCUUUCAGUGGGGGAUAACGUAGCGAAAGUUACGCUAAUACCGCAUAUUCUGUGAGCAGGAAAGCAGGGGAUCGCAAGACCUUGCGCUGAUUGAGCGGCCGAUAUCAGAUUAGCUAGUUGGUGAGGUAAAGGCUCACCAAGGCGACGAUCUGUAGCGGGUCUGAGAGGAUGAUCCGCCACACUGGAACUGAGACACGGUCCAGACUCCUACGGGAGGCAGCAGUGGGGAAUUUUGGACAAUGGGCGCAAGCCUGAUCCAGCCAUGCCGCGUGAGUGAAGAAGGCC